UGAGGACUUCUUACGCAGUCGGGCAUGCAAACUAUGCAUACUCAGGAAGAGAUCAGCCAGAGGCCUUUAAUGCCUAUGAGACCUUGACUACAUGAGCACUGAGGAGAAAUUGCCAGGCAGGUUUUGGAAGCAGAACUAUAACCCGUAAUUUGAUGAGUCUAGAAAAUCCUGAACAUUGGCUCCAACUCAGUUCUUCCCAGCCUUCCAUAAGCUGGAUUAAAGGCUAGUAUGAUUGAUACAUGCAAAAGGUUGAAUUCAUCAAGCACCAGAUUGGGGUCAGAAGGAAUUUCCAUUAAAAGCAAACUGGAACUAACCUGAGGAAGCCUGGAGGAGGAGCUGAGGGGGAAGGAAGAGGGGGGCUGAACAAUGAAACAUUUCUCCAGAGCAUUUGGAAUGGAUCACUCUCAUAUUCAAACUAUAAGCAAAUCACUCUGACAUUGCAAUUUGGACGACUUUAUUCCAAUACAGUUUCUGAGUCCUGAAGAACUAUACCAAUUUUCCCUUCUAUGUUUUCAUCAAUGUGGAAAAGACUCUUUUCCUCUGUGUGGAGUCCAAACCCAGAAUACUUGUGAAAAACUCAAAGAAGUACAAAAAGGAGAGAUUUUGAAAGUGAAGAAAGCACUUGAGUCACUACCAAGAAGAAAAAAAAGAAAAACCAACCCAAGAGGAAAAGACCACCUACAACUGAUGAGGGGCCAGACACCUGCCUUUAAUUGAGUGCCUAAAGAAAACAGUAUAUGGCCACCCUUUAAUUUGUAAUAAGUUCUGACUUGACACAAGCUAUGUGAACUGCCAUGUGUGCUGUUAGUUGAUGGUAAGAAGGAAAUUCUUAUGCUGGAGCAUGUUGUGUAUCUGUGCAGACCUGAAGCUUGGUCCAAAAUGUGAAAAUGAGAAAAUCCUGCCUGGCUGAACACAAAAUGUGAAAAUGUGCAGUACAGGAUACACUGGACAGGUAUACUAAUCCUAUUGAUUGAAGGAUAACAGCAUAAGUGCCUUUGUCACAAAACUGUUAAUUCUGUCUUUGUCCUCCUUCCUGAAGCUAAUGAAGGAGAAGAUAGUGAUUUUAUGAUCUAAUACGGAAAACUAAAUUACAUGCUUACCUGCUUGGAAUUGAAGCAAACACAGAUGCAAGAAUAGACAAGGUCAACCUUAGCCCUGAUUUUUAUUUUUUUUUAACUCAGGCUGUCUCCCUUCAUCGUUUCCUACGUCAUUGUAUUUCUGACAUUUUCUCCUGAAGAGUUUAUUCUAAAUAUAUCGUGGCCAAGAUCCUAGCCCACUUUGCAUUCCUACCUUUCUAUCACUGCUAGAAAUAUUACUUCCUUUCUAUCUUACUGAGUUAGAAAAAAGCUAUCAUCUGUGACUGCUUUCUCCAUCACCCCACACAUCCAGCUCUGCUCUGCUCUCCUCUCAUAUUUCCAAGAUCUUGUUCCACUGCCCAAACAGCUUUUCUCGCUUCCCUCAUUUCUCCCCAUCACAGCCUUGUCUCUUCUUCUUGCAUGCACGAGUGCAUACACAGUUUCUGCCAAAAUCAUCUUCAUAGCUGCUCAUUCUGCCUGUCAAACCUGCCUCCUCAGGCCCUUCUUUGCCUUCCCCUUCACUACCUAAUCUGCUCAAGCUCUUACUGAAAGCCAGGAAGUCCUCUCAGCUCUGCCUUCCUGCCCUGCUCCCACAGAUUCUCCCCGCACCAGCCAUGUGAACUGCCCUUUUAGCUACUUCUCACACCGGCUCGCCUGUUGCCAUUAAUGCUGUACUCCUACACAAGGAAUAACUUUUUUAUACUACUGUACAAAAGCCAUGUUCUUGUCCUUCAUCUAAAGGGACUAAAUAGUAGCUUGACGAAUGCUGCCAAUAUCUGGUCUAUUAAUUAAAUAAUUUGCUAUGGUAUGAAAAGUACAUUACUUUUUAAGCCAGUGCCAUCACAUAACUCAGACAGUCAGCCUACUAAUUCACAUUAACACCAUUACUUCACUCAUGGGCCUUUUCCAGUCCUCCUUUCUGCUGUUACUACACAUUUGGCAUCAUGAUCUUGAAAAUCUUUUUGUGUUAUUUUAUUGUUGCAGUUAUUGUUCUGCAGUAUCUGCUCCUGGUAGCUUGAGAUAAAGACGAGAUGCAAUUCCUGAGAGAGAAAACCACAACUCUAGAGUGAGCAUAGGUUGGUGAGGAAACUUACCAUCAGUUAAUUGACUUGAGGCCAGAUAUGCAUUUAUUUCCUUUGCAGUUUAUUUUGUAAACCCAAAAUCCCUGAAAGACUACUAGCUUUGAUUUGAUACAAGGGUUUUUAAAUCCAGACGAUGAUGUUACUUUGUCAUAAUUUGUGCUUACAGUCUUGUGUUAAAUUGCUUUGGACUUACUUCAGAGAACAAAUAAUGUCAGCUGUUCAUUGUACAUCUUGCUUUAUAUAAGAUGGGUCUUGGCUAAAUGCCAUCACGACAUUUCUCGUCUAAAACUGCUCUUCCUUUAAAUCAGAAUCCAUCAGAUCAUAGUAGUAUAGGAUCAGGAUGAGGAAAAAAAAUAGCCCUAGUUAUGCGUAAUUUUAGGUCUAUAACAGUCACCAGAUGACUCACUAGCAUGUUGACAUUUCUAAGUUAAUAAAUAAAGCCCUCAGCCUUUCAAUUACAUCUGUUUGGGAAGAUCCCUAGGAUUGUACAAAGUUGCACUGGAGCUGGAGAAAUUAUUCUUGUAUAUAUUUAGGUGUAAAUUAAAGUGUAGUUCAUUUAAGGCUAAGGUUUGUGUGUAUUUUUAUACCAAGCGAGAAAUACAAGCUUAGGUUUUUAGAGUGCUUUGUAUUUGCAAGCUGUUUUCAUAAAGGUAAUUAGUUUGCAAGAGAUCUCCAGUGUGCUUGAUAUGAGAGACACAAACAGGUCUUUCAUCAUGCUUAUUAUACAAGAGUAAUCUUUAUAUCAAGUACCCACUGAUAAUGUUAAUAGCUAUGAUAAAACACAGUAUAAUGACAAGUGCCUUCCAACAACCUAAAGUAAAUCAUGCAAAGCAAUUGACUUAAAAGGGCUAUUCCAAAUCCUUUCAUUAUACUUUUACAAAGCAACAUCAUUGCAAGCUGGAUUUUGUAGUAAGUGUGCAGUGCAGGAGGCCUUGAGAAGGAGGAAAAUUGGGCUUUGCAUUCUGCUAGAUGAAGACUGCUUAAUCUUUCAGAACUUCCCAGCCAUGGGCAGAGAUAUCAUGUUACACCAACUAUUGUAUGAGAACAAAUGCAAGGGCUUUUAGAUAGACCUCUGUGUAGCAGUGAUGCCAGACACUAUUUUCUUCUCAUCUUACAGCAUUAAAAGAUGAUGUAAAACAGGAUGUAAAUGAUCUUGAAUCUUCUGAACAUACUAGAAGGUAAUUUUAUUUAAAGAGAAAGCAUUAUUUUAAAAACAAAGGGUAGAUUCUUAAGAGUUACAUGCAAGAUUGGUCUAAUUGAAAGACAGGAAAAAUAUUUUUAGGUUAUCUUUAGUUUGAUUCUUUGUUUGACUCUUUUUUAAUAAAACAUCAGUUUCUUCUGCUGCUGCUUUAGCAUCUGGAGAACGGUCUCCAACCAUUUCUUCUAAGAGUAAAAUUGCAUAGGAAAGAGUUUGUAGGUUCCAGAAUAAGAGUAGAAUUAUAAAGGAGAGAGCUUGUAGGACAGAUCUACAAUUACAAAUUUUUCCCAUUUUUGUUUCCGUGAAAAAAAGAAAAAUACUUUAAAAAUGCAUUCCAUAAACUGAAAAAAUAGCAAAAGGGGUUUGGGGCAGAUGAGUUUCAAUGAUUCGAAGUCCAGUGAACUCAUCUGAGAGACUGCUGCUGACUCCAGCAGACUUAUUGCUAUCAUUUUAUUGGAUUAAUUUCACAUUUAAUUUUCUAAUUAUUUUGAUUUUUUAAUUAUAAAAGAUAUUUUAACUCAAAAUAAACACACUAAAUCCCAUAAAAUUGCUAUGCUUUUUUUUUUUUUAAUUGCCACUGUAGGCUUUGGGUAUAUGUCAUUGUCAAGAGAGGUUAUCAUUGUUUAUUCUGAAAGUUCUGAAAACAGAAGGGAUAGGUAAAAAGAAAAGGAAUGUACUUUUCUCCAGCUUCCAUACUGAUGAGUUUUAUUGUACCAGAUUCUUUUGUUAAUGUUAUUCCCCUUUGCGUUAUUUUCCACUCCCUGUGGCACAAAUGCUGUAUGGUCCAGAUUAUCUCCCAAAGAGAAGAACGCUUUCCCACCUUCCAACUAUGGAGAAAGAGGUAUCGAUACACAGAGGAGGGAUAUACAAUAAUGAAAGACUCUUAAACUGACACUUCUCAGCAGAAGUAUCAUAGGAAUAACUGAGACAACACGGAGUCCUGAGAUGAUACCCUCUUCCUCUGUCCCAGGUUUCUCCAGCAUAUGCAUUUCAGCUAUUGUAUGUCUGAUCACUCGAUUAGUUUCUUAGGAUACUCUGACCACAUAGAACUGUCUGGGCCCCGAGGGCACUGUUAGCGCUGCCUGUACCUGCCCAGUCCCCUGGGGCUCCCCCUGCCCUGCCCAUGGCCCAGGACCCCAUCUCAGCCCCCCGGGGCUGUCAGCCCCUGCCUCAGCAAUGCCACAGAAGGGCCAGUCUCCGGCUCCCCACAGCCCUGCCCUGCCCAGCCAUGGGCCAAGCUGAACCAGGCCUACGUCCCAGACCACCCCCAUCCCCAGGCCCCUGCCCAUCAGUCUCUGGACCUGAUCCUGGCCCUGACCUCUGGAUUGACUUCCCAGCUUGACCCCAGACCUGCCUCAUCACCAUUGCCUUAUGGUCUGGACCCCUGGUCUGAUCUGGCCACCACCUCCGGGUCCGUCCUGCUCCCUUGCUUAGGAGACACAGGCCCUGCUGGCCCUGGGGUCACUCCUGGCUUCCCUCCCUCAGGGAGCAGCCCUCUCUUACUCCUCCCUGGCAGUAAUUCCCUCUUCAUAAAGCACCUAAAUAUCCUCUUGCUGCGUGUUAAAUUUCCACCUUCCUGAGGUGAGGCACCUACACAGUGACCCACCAUCAGCACGGCAGGAGUGGCGGCACGGCAGGCAGCGCAGGGCUUUCAGCACAGCCCGGCAAGCAUGAGGCUGCGUGUACGCCCUUGUCAGUGCCGGCCAAAGAUCUUCAAUGCCCAUGCACAGUGGGGCAGGUUAAGAGACCCAUCCAAAUUAAAUCACAUAGACCUCAAGAGGCAGAACAAUAAAGUCCAGGCAAUCCUUCAAGGAAUGUGCUACUGGAAUGUUUUGUGAUGCUACAUCUGUUUCACAAAAUGUCCAGGGAGUCACUGUGAGAGGGAGGUAUGUGCUUUAAUGCCUAAUAACCUGUGUUUUCUUCAAAUGCACCUGCAAACUGCCAGAAAAUCACCAAAUAUAAAAAAUACAUAUAUUCUCAUGAAGAAGAGUAGUCAUUUGCUGUUGCUGGGGAAUGAAUUACCCUGUCCCACGGGAUUUUUUUCCUCAGAAGAUGACAGCACUGUUCCUGACCAAGAAGUUGAGUAUUGUCUCAAGAAAAGCUGUGAAGAAAAUGGGACCUUUCUCAGAAAACUCUGAUGCAGUUACCUUGCCGCUGGGACUUAGACUGUUCUUCUGCAGAGAAAGGAGGUAUGAUGGGGGACUAGAGCUGCCAAACUGGCUACCUCUGCACCGUGGGGUCUGUUGGACACCUUAACCUGAAUUUUUAAUGAAAGCAGUUGUAAAAAAUGAUACUUGCAGGGAAAAUAAGAAAAUUAAGACAACUAAAGCAUGCUUCUAGACAUUUCUAGCUUUCCAUGUAAAUCGAGCUGACUGCCUUACCAACUACCAUUCUCCCAGAUUUCUGCUUUGAGUAUGUGUCUUUGUCAAAGACUGUUAUUGUUAAUUACAUGUGGAAAGCCUAAAGCUUCAACUUUGAGAAACAGAUGAAGUUUGUACCUGACUGAAACAAAAUAUCUAUUCUAAGCAGAACUAAAUGAAAAUCAGAGAAAAGGCAUGCAUCAAUGAUGAAGCUACUCCUCCUCUAGCCAGCAGAACAUCACUGUUUUCACAAUUAUAUGGUACCAGAGUUAGGGUUGUCUGCUAUAGCCAAUUUGUACACAGCAAUAUUUUUCUUCUUACACGUGUGCUGCACCGUGUUACAUUAAGUGUAUGUAAAAUAACUCAGAGAUGCAAUAGCAAGGUGGCAUUAUACCCUGCAAAAAUUUGAGUAAUGGAGCUUUAAAACAACAUGCUAAGUAGGGUCUCCCCUACCUGUAACAAAUUUCUUAUAUGUUAGCUUUAGAGCCAUAUUCCUAAGCCUCUGUCUAUGCUGAAGGCAAGUGAACCAUGUGUGAAGAGUGAGUAAAAGACCAUGCAGAUAUGAUGAUUUAACUUUUUUAUAGUGGUCAGAAACGUGAUUCAGUGGUGGCAAGAGCAAUAACAAAGUAAUGUUACUAACUGUAUUGGCUUUGUGUGGCAAGGUUGGGGGGGGGGGGGGUUACAGGGGUGGCUUCUGUAAGAAGCUGCUGGAAGCUUCCCCUGUGUCCAACAGAGCCAAUACCAGCUGGCUCUGAGAUGGACCCGCCACCGGCCAAGGCCGAGUCCAUCAGCAAUGGUGGUAAUGCCUCUGGGAUAACAGAUUUAAGAAGGAAAAAAAAGUUGCUGGGACAGACAGAAAUGGCAGCCGGAGAGAGGAGUGAGAACAUGUAAGAGAAACAACCCUGCAGACACCAAGGUCAGUGUAGAAGGAGGGGGAGGAGAUGCUCCAGGCGCCGCAGCAGAGAUUCCGCUGCAGCCCGUGGGGAAGACCAUGGUGAGGCAGGUUGUCCCCCUGCAGCCCAUGGAGAUCCAUGGCGGAGCAGAUAUCCACCUGCAGCCCGUGGAGGACCCCACACCGGAGCAGGUGGGUGCCCGAAGGAGGCUGUGACCCCGUGGGAAGGACCUGAAGGAGUGCACUCUGUGGAAGGGACCCAUGCUGGAGCAGUUUGUGAAGAACUGCAGCCCGUGGGAACGACCCACGUUGGAGAAGUUCAUGGAGGACUGUCUCCCGUGGGAGGGACCCCACGCUGGAGCAGGGGAAGAGUGUGAUGAGUCCUGCCUCUGAGGAGGAUGAAGCGGCAGAAAUAACGUGUGAUGAACUGACUGUAAACCCCAUC